ACUCCUACGGGAGGCAGCAGUGGGGAAUAUUGCACAAUGGGGGAAACCCUGAUGCAGCCAUGCCGCGUGUGUGAAGAAGGCCUUCGGGUUGUAAAGCACUUUCAGUAGGGAGGAAGGUAGUGUAGUUAACACCUGCAUUAUUUGACGUUACCUACAGAAGAAGCACCGGCUAAACUCCGUGCCAGCAGCCGCGGUAAUACGGAGGGUGCGAGCGUUAAUCGGAAUUACUGGGCGUAAAGCGCAUGCAGGCGGCCUGUUAAGUCAGAUGUGAAAGCCCGGGGCUUAACCUCGGAAUUGCAUUUGAAACUGGCAGGCUAGAGUCUUGUAGAGGGGGGUAGAAUUUCAGGUGUAGCGGUGAAAUGCGUAGAGAUCUGGAGGAAUACCGGUGGCGAAGGCGGCCCCCCUGGACAGAUACUGACACUCAGAUGCGAAAGCGUGGGGAGCAAACAGGAUUAGAUACCCUGGUAGGAUAGCG
rnacentral:rRNA from 1 species